CAGCCGCCGCGGGAAUACAGAGGGUGCGAGCGUUAAUCGGAUUUACUGGGCGUAAAGCGUGCGUAGGCGGCUUUUUAAGUCGGAUGUGAAAUCCCUGAGAUUAACUUAGGAAUUGCAUUCGAUACUGGGAAGCUAGAGUAUGGGAGAGGAUGGUAGAAUUCCAGGUGUAGCGGUGAAAUGCGUAGAGAUCUGGAGGAAUACCGAUGGCGAAGGCAGCCAUCUGGCCUAAUACUGACGCUGAGGUACGAAAGCAUGGGGAGCAAACAGGAUUAGAUACCCCCGUAGUCCCUGUCUCUUAUAU
rnacentral:rRNA from 1 species